rnacentral:rRNA from 1 species
AGCCCUGCUUCCAGGAAAAGCCUCUAAGCAUCAGGUAACAUCAAAUCGUACCCCAAACCGACACAGGUGGUCAGGUAGAGAAUACCAAGGCGCUUGAGAGAACUCGGGUGAAGGAACUAGGCAAAAUGGUGCCGUAACUUCGGGAGAAGGCACGCUGAUAUGUAGGUGAAGCGACUUGCUCGUGGAGCUGAAAUCAGUCGAAGAUACCAGCUGGCUGCAACUGUUUAUUAAAAACACAGCACUGUGCAAACACGAAAGUGGACGUAUACGGUGUGACGCCUGCCCGGUGCCGGAAGGUUAAUUGAUGGGGUUAGCGCAAGCGAAGCUCUUGAUCGAAGCCCCGGUAAACGGCGGCCGUAACAAUAACGGUCCUAAGGUAGCGAAAUUCCUUGUCGGGUAAGUUCCGACCUGCACGAAUGGCGUAAUGAUGGCCAGGCUGUCUCCACCCGAGACUCAGUGAAAUUGAACUCGCUGUGAAGAUGCAGUGUACCCGCGGCAAGACGGAAAGACCCCGUGAACCUUUACUAUAGCUUGACACUGAACAUUGAGCCUUGAUGUGUAGGAUAGGUGGGAGGCUUUGAAGUGUGGACGCCAGUCUGCAUGGAGCCGACCUUGAAAUACCACCCUUUAAUGUUUGAUGUUCUAACGUUGACCCGUAAUCCGGGUUGCGGACAGUGUCUGGUGGGUAGUUUGACUGGGGCGGUCUCCUCCUAAAGAGUAACGGAGGAGCACGAAGGUUGGCUAAUCCUGGUCGGACAUCAGGAGGUUAGUGCAAUGGCAUAAGCCAGCUUGACUGCGAGCGUGACGGCGCGAGCAGGUGCGAAAGCAGGUCAUAGUGAUCCGGUGGUUCUGAAUGGAAGGGCCAUCGCUCAACGGAUAAAAGGUACUCCGGGGAUAACAGGCUGAUACCGCCCAAGAGUUCAUAUCGACGGCGGUGUUUGGCACCUCGAUGUCGGCUCAUCACAUCCUGGGGCUGAAGUAGGUCCCAAGGGUAUGGCUGUUCGCCAUUUAAAGUGGUACGCGAGCUGGGUUUAGAACGUCGUGAGACAGUUCGGUCCCUAUCUGCCGUGGGCGCUGGAGAACUGAGGGGGGCUGCUCCUAGUACGAGAGGACCGGAGUGGACGCAUCACUGGUGUUCGGGUUGUCAUGCCAAUGGCACUGCCCGGUAGCUAAAUGCGGAAGAGAUAAGUGCUGAAAGCAUCUAAGCAUGAAGCCCCCCUCAAGAUGAGAUUUCCCAUUCCGCAAGGAAGUAAGAUCCCUGAAAGAUGAUCAGGUUGAUAGGUCUGAGGUGGAAGUGUGGCGACACAUGGAGCUGACAGAUACUAAUCGAUCGAGGACUCUCCCGC